CAGGUUUCAAAGUAAGCCUAGCACAGAGAAGGAACUCAUCUCAGAUUUUGAGUGUACUUUUUCUACUUAUUAAAACAGCCUCAGGCAGGUCCUGCAGGAGGUAUUCCAGAAGAGGGCGUUGUUAUUAUAGGAGAUGACCCCCCCAUGUUACUGCUGCUGUGCACCUCACUGUCAGACAGGAUGUGAAGGCCUUCGCAUUUACUCACCACUCACUGACUCAGUCAGAGCAACUUCCAGUCCUGCAAGCUCCAUUUAUGGUAAGUACCCUAUACAGGUGUACCAUUGUUUAUCUUUUAUACUAUAUUUUAACCGUACUUUUUCUAUGUUUAGAUAUGUUUAAAUACACAAAUAUUUAUCAUUGUGUUACAGUUGCCUACAGUAUUCAAUACGAUAAAUGCUGUACAGGUUUGUAGCCUAGGAGCAAUAGGCAAUAUCAUAUAGCCUAGGUGUGUGGUAGGCUAUGCCAUCUAGGUUUGUGUAAGAACACUCUUGUACAACAACAACAUUGCUUGAUGCAUUUCUCAGAAUAUAUCCUUGUUAUUAAGCAAUGCAUAACUGUAUUUGGUAAAAUACAGAGAUAUUCCACAUAUUUUAUUAUGCUAUUAAGCAUCGUUUAAAAUAAUUUAUGUCAGUUAUAACUUGUUUAUUCUUUCACAUGAACAUUGAAAUCAUUGAGUUUACUUCUUAAGCAUUUCAUUGGUAUCUUCAUUUAAAUUGCCUUAUGUUUAUGUUAUAAAACAUACUAAUAAACAGGUUUUCUUUUUUGGGCCUCAGUGAAGUUUGGUAGUUUUCAUUAUAUAAGAUGUUUUGCAUUUCUUGUUAGGAUGUUUCUUAUGUAUUGCAUGUUUCUGAUUAUUGUUAAAGAUGGAACUUUUUUCCUGUUAAAUUUCUUAAGUGAUUACUGUUGAGAUCUAUGUAUAUCUAUUUUCUGUAUCGAUGUCAAUAUCUAUAUCUAUAUUGCUGAUUUUUGUAUCUUCUUAAACUAAUUAUCUUACUGACUUCUACUAGUACAUUUUCAUUUUGUUUACUCUGGUUUUUCCGUAUAGAGAAGAAUCACUUGAAAAUAGAGACACAUUUAUCCCCAUUUAACAAUAAUUUAUUGUAUAUUUUAAAAUAACUGAACAAAUGGAAUUGGAAUGUUUCUAACACAAAAAAAUGAUAAAUACUUGAGGUGAUAGAGAUCCCAAUUAUCCUGAUUUGAUCAUUAGACAUUGUAUGCUUGUAUCAGUAUAUCACAUGUACUACAUAAAUGUGUGUAACUAUUAUGUAUCUGUAAUAAUUAAUAAAAAACCAUCAAUUAAAAAAUUAUUGUCCUUCAUUACAUUGGCUAUAACUUACAGAAAAAUGCAAAAGAGUAAUGAGCACACUGCUCUUCUUCCUGAAUUUAAUGAGAGUGCACUCUGUAUUUUAUCAUUAACCAUAAUAUUGGCUAUCAAUAUGCAAUAACUAUUCUCUAUUAGAUUAAGGAAGUUUUCUUCUAUUUUCAGGCAGCUUUUGUAUUUAUUUUAAUAUUGCUUUCAUUUUAAUUAUUUUUAAUCUUUGCAAUUAUUGAAAUAAUUAUUUUUAAUCUUCAGAGGUAUUGAUGUGACUAAUUAAUUGACUGGUGUUUUUA
rnacentral:lncRNA from 10 species